UACGAAGGGUGCAAGCGUUACUCGGAAUCACUGGGCGUAAAGCGUGCGUAGGCGGUUCGUUAAGUCUGCUGUGAAAGCCCUGGGCUCAACCUGGGAACUGCAGUGGAUACUGGCGGACUAGAGUGUGAUAGAGGAUGGUGGAAUUCCCGGUGUAGCGGUGAAAUGCGUAGAUAUCCGCAGGAACAUCCGAGGCGAAAGCGGCUUGCUGGAUCGCAACUGACGCUGAGGGACGAAAGCUAGGGGAGCAAACAGG
rnacentral:rRNA from 1 species